rnacentral:rRNA from 2 species
GGCCACUGCUAUGGGGGUCCGACUAAGCCAUGCGAGUCAUGGGGCGCGCUCUGCGCGCACCGGCGGACGGCUCAGUAACACGUCGGUAACCUACCCUCGGGAGGGGGAUAACCCCGGGAAACUGGGGCUAAUCCCCCAUAGGCCUGAGGUACUGGAAGGUCCUCAGGCCGAAAGGGGCUUCGGCCCGCCCGAGGAUGGGCCGGCGGCCGAUUAGGUAGUUGGUGGGGUAACGGCCCACCAAGCCGAAGAUCGGUACGGGCCAUGAGAGUGGGAGCCCGGAGAUGGACACUGAGACACGGGUCCAGGCCCUACGGGGCGCAGCAGGCGCGAAACCUCCGCAAUGCGGGAAACCGCGACGGGGGGACCCCCAGUGCCGUGGCAUCGCCACGGCUUUUCCGGAGUGUAAAAAGCUCCGGGAAUAAGGGCUGGGCAAGGCCGGUGGCAGCCGCCGCGGUAAUACCGGCGGCCCGAGUGGUGGCCGCUAUUAUUGGGCCUAAAGCGUCCGUAGCCGGGCCCGUAAGUCCCUGGCGAAAUCCCACGGCUCAACCGUGGGGCUUGCUGGGGAUACUGCGGGCCUUGGGACCGGGAGAGGCCGGGGGUACCCCUGGGGUAGGGGUGAAAUCCUAUAAUCCCAGGGGGACCGCCAGUGGCGAAGGCGCCCGGCUGGAACGGGUCCGACGGUGAGGGACGAAGGCCAGGGGAGCGAACCGGAUUAGAUACCCGGGUAGUCCUGGCUGUAAAGGAUGCGGGCUAGGUGUCGGGCGAGCUUCGAGCUCGCCCGGUGCCGAAGGGAAGCCGUUAAGCCCGCCGCCUGGGGAGUACGGCCGCAAGGCUGAAACUUAAAGGAAUUGGCGGGGGAGCACUACAAGGGGUGGAGCGUGCGGUUUAAUUGGAUUCAACGCCGGGAACCUCACCGGGGGCGACGGCAGGAUGAAGGCCAGGCUGAAGGUCUUGCCGGACACGCCGAGAGGAGGUGCAUGGCCGCCGUCAGCUCGUACCGUGAGGCGUCCACUUAAGUGUGGUAACGAGCGAGACCCGCGCCCCCAGUUGCCAGUCCUCCCCGUUGGGGAGGAGGCACUCUGGG